UGAUAGGAUGACAGCGCAGGACUAGUUGGGUGAGAUUCCUUUGAGGUCUCCCAUCUUCGGAUUAACAAAUCACAACCCCUUUUUCUCCAGACACAGAUUCCUAUGAAGAACGUUUUACAAAAGAGGUGGGAAAACCGCAAAAGGGUAUGCUCAACUCCAUUCUGACUUCUUCAAGGAGCUCCCUGGAUUUCCUUUAAGAUCAGCCAGCUUUCUUGUGGGCACUGGGAACAAUGUUAAUUUGCAUAGUUUCUUUAAACAUCCAAAUAGAUACCUUUUGGGUUAAGCAAAUGAACAUGACAUGCGAUUGCUUCUAAUGAUUUGCAACCCAAGAAAUUUGUUUAAUAAGCCUGUCUUCCCAAGCUACUUUUGUGACAUUAGAGACCAUUUACAACAAAGCUGUCUUCAGUAGUCAACCUUAAUCCUUACUACCCUACCUUUGGGAAAUGAAAGGAUUUUAUAACGAUCACAUAAAACCUUAUGUGGUUUGAAAGCCCCAAACUCCGGACAAAUGUGUGAUGGUCGUGUAACAAAAGAAACAUAUUACAGAGCUCCCCACUUUAAGUGUUUUACAUAUGGUUUGCUUUUAGGAUAGCAUCUCUGGUGGAGGGCUUUGCUGAUUAACACAAUUGAUUUUCUUAGCCCCAGUGUUCCUGUAAACGUUGGAGCCAAGAGCUGGAGUCAGUGCCUUGGACCUGGGAGAGGCCAGGAGGCCAGGGAGCCUCAAGCACUCUGGAGGAAGAAGCCUGAAAUGAAAAGCCUGCAGGCAUAAAAGGGCCCGAGGUACAGCCACUCCCCUUGCAUCAGUUCCAUGUAAGUGAAGCCCUUUCUUCUCCUCUUGGGGCAGCCUCUCAUCCCAGCUGCUGGGCUCUUCCAAACAAGGAUGGGUGGGGCUUGAAUUCAGGGCAAUUUCUCAAACAUCAAAAGAAGCAUUUAACUUCUCCCUGGGCAAGCCCUAACAGAGUCUGGCUGUUCUUCUUUGAGGAGACAAGCUCAGAUUCUCUUCUCUCUCUCUCUCUCUCUGCCAAUUAA
rnacentral:lncRNA from 1 species